rnacentral:rRNA from 1 species
AGAACGAACGCUGGCGGCAUGCCUAAUACAUGCAAGUCGAACGAACUCUUCGGAGUUAGUGGCGCACGGGUGCGUAACGCGUGGGAAUCUGCCCUUGGGUUCGGAAUAACAGUUGGAAACGACUGCUAAUACCGGAUGAUGACGAAAGUCCAAAGAUUUAUCGCCCAGGGAUGAGCCCGCGUAGGAUUAGCUAGUUGGUGAGGUGAAGGCUCACCAAGGCGACGAUCCUUAGCUGGUCUGAGAGGAUGAUCAGCUACACUGGGACUGAGACACGGCCCAGACUCCUACGGGAGGCAGCAGUAGGGAAUAUUGGACAAUGGGCGAAAGCCUGAUCCAGCAAUGCCGCGUGAGUGAUGAAGGCCUUAGGGUUGUAAAGCUCUUUUACCCGAGAUGAUAAUGACAGUAUCGGAGAAUAAGCCCCGGCUAACUCCGUGCCAGCAGCCGC